rnacentral:rRNA from 1 species
AUUGAACGCUGGCGGCAGGCCUAACACAUGCAAGUCGAGCGAGCGGCGGACGGGUGAGUAAUGUAUGGGGAUCUGCCCGAUGGAGGGGGAUAACUACUGGAAACGGUGGCUAAUACCGCAUACUAUCGGAUGUACCCAUAUGGGAUUAGCUAGUAGGUGGGGUAAUGGCUCACCUAGGCGACGAUCCCUAGCUGGUCUGAGAGGAUGACCAGCCACACUGGAACUGAGACACGGUCCAGACUCCUACGGGAGGCAGCAGUGGGGAAUAUUGCACAAUGGGCGCAAGCCUGAUGCAGCCAUGCCGCGUGUAUGAAGAAGGCCUUAGGGUUGUAAAGUACUUUCAGCGGGGAGGCGUUACCGGCAGAAGAAGCACCGGCUAACUCCGUGCCAGCCGCCGCGGUAAUAC